rnacentral:rRNA from 1 species
CCUACGGGGGUCAGCAGUGGGGCAUAUUGGGCAAUGGACGCAAGUCUGACCCAGCAACGCCGCGUGAAGGCAGAAUGCUUUCGGGUUGUAAACUUCUUUUAAGGGUGAAGAGCAGAAGACGGUACCCCUUGAAUAAGCCACGGCUAACUACGUGCCAGCAGCCGCGGUAAUACGUAGGUGGCAAGCGUUUUCCGGAUUUACUGGGUGUAAAGGGCGUGCAGCCGGAGAGACAAGUCAGAUGUGACAUCCACGGGCUCAACCCCAUCCAGCCGUUGAAACUGGGGAUCUAGAGUGUGCGGGAGGUAUGCGGAAUGCGUGGUGUAGCGGUGAAAUGCAUAGAUAUCACGCAGAACCCCGAUUGCGAAGGCAGCAUACCGGUGCACAACUGACGCUCAGGCACGAAAGCGUGGGUAUCGAACAGGAUGAGAUACCCCAGUAGUC